rnacentral:rRNA from 1 species
GUGAGAUGUUGGGUUAAGUCCCGCAACGAGCGCAACCCCUAUCCUUAGUUGCCAGCACGUCAUGGUGGGAACUCUAAGGAGACUGCCUAUGUUAAGUAGGAGGAAGGUGGGGAUGACGUCAAGUCCUCAUGGCCCUUACGCCCGGGGCUGGAAACGUGCUACAAUGGCCGGUACAAAGGGCUGCAAUACCGUGAGGUGGAGCUAAUCCCAAAAAACCGGUCUCAGUUGGGAUUGGAGUCUGCAACUCGACUCCAUGAACGCGGAAUCGCUAGUAAUCGUGGAUCAGCAUGCCACGGUGAAUACGUUCCCGGGUCUUGUACACACCGCCCGUCAAGUGAUGAAAGCCGGGAAUACUCGAAGUCAGUAGUCCAACCCUCGGGAGGACACUGCCGAAGGUAGGUCCGGUAAUUGGCACUAAGUCGUAACAAGGUAGCCGUAUCGGAAGGUGCGGCUGGAUCACCUCCUUU